AACUUCUCAGAACAUAUGGAGUACACAAUAAAAACAAUCUCCCACUACCAUAAAACAUCAGAUCAAAAUUAUAAACAAGGAUCACUGAACUGGGUCUGUAUAAGAAAAAUGAGGGCUUUUUUAAAUUGCAUUUUUUUACUGUUGUGUUUCAUUGCAAUCACCAGUGAUAUUGGAACAGCUGCAGCCAAGAAAAGUCUAACAAAUCGUGUUGAUAAGAAGGGCCGAAGCGAGAAGUGUACUUUAAAGCAUCCACUGGAAGGAGAAAAGAAAAAUAAGCCUCCAAAACAAAUUUGUCUUCCUGAAUUACCAUCGACUCAACCAUGGUAUAAUAAAUCUACCUUGGAUUCCAUCCUUAUUUAUUAUUAUAACGCAAAUGCGAAAAACCCCUACGAAGAAAUGAAGAAAGCCAAACCAGAGUUUAUCAAAGACAUAAAACUUCUUGAAACGCGUUUGCGAAAUUUGGAUUGGUGCAAGAAAGUAGAAUAUACGGGCUCGUCAUAUGAGGGGCUGAAGAUAAGCGAAGAUGGUCUGGAGUUUGAUGUUAUGUUUGUGAUAGACGGAACAGGUUUGGAAUUAGUAUCCAUUAAAGGGCAGGAAGGUUACACGAAUUUUAAGGCGAGCACGAAGGCCUUGCGUAUGUUGCAGGAAUCUGCAGGUUCUACAGGCUUCUUGUCACCGAAGCUAGUCAACUCAAAGUUUUUUGGGGCUGUGAAAAAAUGGCAAAAUAAAGUUGAUCCAACUGGGCAACGCAUGAAGUUACGCAACCAUGGUCCUGCCACCCAGAUGGAUGUGUUUAAUGGUACAAAAAAGGUUUGGUACAGUGUAGAUCUGGUGCCAGCUGUCGAAAUAAAAGAUAAUGGUGAAGUGAAACUAUACAUACCAAAGCCUUUAAAAAAUGAUAACACAACAUGGCGUCGCUCUUUCUCGAGAGAAGAAAAAAGUAUUCUAAAGACCUUGGACAAAGGAAACGGUUGUAGACGGAAAGUGGCCCGUGUAAUUAAAGCCAUGUUUAAAGGUGAACCUACACUACGCCCUUUCACAUCUUACUACAUAAAAACCACACUUCUCCUGACAAUACAAUCAUUCCCAGAUAUGAGCUGGAAAACAAGUGAUGUGACCGAGCGAGUCUUGGAUGUUUUAGGGGCAAUCGAGUUUUACCUGAAACAAAGAUAUCUUCCACAUUAUUUCAUCCCAUCCAUAAACCUGCUCGUAGAUAUGAAGGAACACGUGAAGUUAAACAUGUUGAAACGAGUCAGAUCGUUACGACGUUACGAGGACAAGUUCGUGAAAGCCAUCGACUUGCGCUACAAACUUCGCGGCGAAACAAGUGGUGAUAAAAUGGAAAACGGGAUGCAUGUAAUGUUUGCUAUUAUUAUUUUUUUGAAACCGAUUUUGAGCAUUUUUUUUAACUUUUAAGAUAAAAUUUGCUAUUUUUAUGUUUGGUAUACUUUAGGCUUUAGAAAUAGUAUUGACGUAAAUGCAACAUAUAUAGCAUAUAACGUAUGCACUUUUAGAUUUAUUUUGAUUUUAUUUUACAUGCACUUGCAGUUUUAAAGUGAGAAAACAACGACUUGAAGAAACUACGACGAAACAAUACGACAAAAUAACGCCGAAAAAAACCCGACAAGAUAACGCCGAAAACACCGAAAAACAACGACAAUAUAGCGACAAUAUGGCGAAACAAAGUGGUAUAAGUCGAAUUUUUACGUGCGCAUGUCACUUUACUGAUUGGUUAUUCAAUAUCAAAGUUUGAAAAAUAGAGGAUCACAAAAAGGGAUAAAUAAUUAAAAUAACUUUUAUUUCUAUCGGAAAUAUAAAAAUUCGCCUAAAUCACCUAGUUAUCUGUUAUAAUGACGACUUUUAGUUAGUUUAGGAAUUUGUGCGGAAAUUAACGUGUGCAUAUUCAUACUCUAUUUCCUUGGAUGGAAAUAAAUUCGCGCUAAAUUGCGCCUUAAGUCCGCUACGCGAAAAUACUUGUUUCCAUUUGCAUGUAUUUUCUGUUUUGGAGCAAAAAGCUCGUGAGUUUUAAUUGUUAGCGCAUGCGCAUUUGGAAAUUUUUUAAAGUGCGCAUGCGCUAACAAACAAAAUUUCGUGGAAACGAGCCUUUAAAAUGUUGUAUGUUGUUUUUUAUGUGUAAAAUAUUUUAAGAAUGAUUGUAGAAAUAUUUUUAUGUAAAUUCAUAUAUUAUAUAGCUUAUUUAGUUUUUAUUUUUAAUGAUAGGAAACAAUGAUGGGAAGAAACCAAAAAAAAAGCUGUUUUUUCUUAACUGUUUUUACCUCGAAUUAAAGAAAUAGAAAGCAAACAUGAGAAAAGUGAUCUUUGAGGAAGACUUUUGAUGCUAUCUGUGAAACGUCAAACUUGUGAGAUAUGGGAUUUUUUGCGAGUUAUUCUCGAUUAACCAAACGUCAAAAAGUGAUGAUCGGUGCGACAGGGGUUGUGGUCAGUUUCAUUGGUCCAUAUAUGACAUUAAUGUUUACUGACGUGUUUGAAAGAGAGGCUGAGCGAGAAAGAAUUCGAAAUGAAAAUGUACGAAAAAUGAAAAUAGAAAGAAUGGAGAAAUUGCAAAAUCUUCGUGAAAAAAAGUUGUUACCGUAACAGUUGUAACAUUCUAUCUGAAGCUGUGUAUUCUUCAUGGACCAAAAUAUAUUUUUUCAGUAAA